UUUAACUCUAUUUCAAACAAGCAUCAUAUUUACUUCAUUAUGAAUCAUAGUUGUGAAAAAUUUUCUUUGCUAAAAAGUUUUUAACUGCAUGCUGCAUAGUGUUUCAUUACCUUUAGAUUAUUUUUUACAUUAUAUUUUCUUCCUUGGACAUGAAAUAUAAAUGUAUUGCUUAUAGGAAAACAUGAUAACAAUUGGAAGGAAUAUAAGUCACAUCAGUGAUGGUAGGCCUGUAUUUCCUGUGUUUUGAAACUUAAGAAUCACCUUGAUAAUGGCAAUAGCUCUCAUCGUAUUAGGGAUGUCAUUUUCUUUUAGGCUAAGUCUGCAUUCAGGUCCUGGAAGAUAAAUUUUAGACCAUCAUUGCGAUAUAUUUUUUAAAAGUUUCAAAUACAGAGUUGUAAUCAAGCCAAUCAAACUCAACUAUGGAGUGCUAAGUGAUCUUCAGGCCUUUUGAUAAAUUUUUUGCUGACACACUUGUUUGAAUGAAUCAUUCUGGACCCUGUCUUACAAAGAGUUAUGUUGCAAUUGAUCCAUUCAGUCUAAACAAUGGAAUGCCAUCACAGUCAUAGAUCUUCACCCAGGGGCGGUUCCAGGAUUUUUCGAGAGGGGGGCACAUUUUCCCAAGGAAAAAUUUGACAACCCCCCCCAAAAAAGUUUUCACUUUAGAAGGGGGGGGGGCACACUUCUGUUUUAACGGCAUUUGUACAUUGCAAAUUCUAAUUGUGCCUCUGAAAAAGGGGGCACGGGGCUGGCUGUGCCCCCCCCCCCCCUGAAUCCACCAGUGUCUUCACCUAUGUGGAGGGUACUAUUGAACUGUCCUAUAAUCAGCAUGUACUGUAAGUCCAAUUGGACUAAUUUUUGUAGUAGUUUUCACUUUGUCUGUUUACCUAAAUGAUUUAGGUCAAAUCAGUUUACAAAGCAUUACAACAAUUACUCAAAUGACAUAAUGAUAUAUUUAGAAGACAUAGGCAUAUAUUCUUGAUGACAGUUCUUCACAGCUAUUUGUAAGAAAGGGUCUAGAUUGGUGUCCUUGAUCUCACACCUACUUUUCCAUUUUAAACAAAAAUCUAUCUCAACAAACAUCUUGCAGAUGAUUUCAAGAAUGUGUGUGAUAGACCUCAAUAAUUAAUGUUUGAAAGCUCAGGAAUCCCCCCAUUGUGUAUAAUUCUGGAUUACAUUUUGAUUUUGUAGUGGAACUUUAAGAGAACUAUUUACAAUGAAAUUUGUAUUAAUUUAAUGCAUGUAGAUAGGACAUUUGCCUCAGUAUUCUGGGCUAAUCAAAUAAUAUUUUGAACAAGUGGCUUUAGCAAACUUAUGCAAUUAGUUUCUGUUUUGAUAUACAGUAUUUGUUUGCUCAAGAUUCUUCUGGGAAAAUGGGGCAGUGCCACAGGGGGCACAGGGGCAACUGUCCCUUGAUAU